CAUGAGAUGUGACAUCCAGAUGACCCAGUCUCCUUCAUUCCUGUCUGCAUCUGUGGGAGACAGAGUCACUAUCAACUGCAAAGCAAGUCAGAAUAUUAACAAGUACUUAAACUGGUAUCAGCAAAAGCUUGGAGAAGCUCCCAAACUCCUGAUAUAUAAUACAAACAAUUUGCAAACGGGCAUCCCAUCAAGGUUCAGUGGCAGUGGAUCUGGUACAGAUUACACACUCACCAUCAGCAGCCUGCAGCCUGAAGAUGUUGCCACAUAUUUCUGCUUGCAGCAUAGUAGUAGGCC
rnacentral:lncRNA from 1 species